GUAGGACGGUGAUUGACUUUCGGUUUAUAACUGAGGAAAACAAAAACUCCGUGUUUUUGAGCCUCAGUUUGAAUAACUGAGGAAAGUCCGCCCACUAAUUAUGUAGUCACUCUCGGAAGAGAGAUCCUGAAAAGGAUGGCAACGGCUCAGAAACGAGACCACCUAUGAACAAAAGAAUGAUGUGGCGAAUCAAUAGGCGACUGUUGAAAGCUAACCUGCUGACGGUGUUUUUAGGAAUGGAUGAAACGGCGAGUCCUGACUUGUGCAAGCCAAAAUGGCGCUAAGUAGAAUGUCAAGAUGGACUGUCUGAAACAUUACAGAGUCCAACAAAAGGCGGCUUACAACCGUUCUAC
rnacentral:RNase_P_RNA from 1 species